GAGAGCUGCCCGACUCCACCCUUUGUGAACCAAACUUGUUGCUUCGGGGGCGACCCUGCCGACGAACUCGUCGCCGGGCGCCCCCGGAGGUCUUCUAAACACUGCAUCUUUGCGUCGGAGUUUAAAACAAAUUAAACAAAACUUUCAACAACGGAUCUCUUGGUUCUGGCAUCGAUGAAGAACGCAGCGAAAUGCGAUAAGUAAUGUGAAUUGCAGAAUUCAGUGAAUCAUCGAAUCUUUGAACGCACAUUGCGCCCUUUGGUAUUCCGAAGGGCAUGCCUGUUCGAGCGUCAUUUCACCACUCAAGCCUGGCUUGGUAUUGGGCGUCGCGGUUUUCCGCGCGCCUUAAAGUCUUCCGGCUGAGCUGUCCGUCUCUAAGCGUUGUGGAUUUUUCAAUUCGCUUCGGAGUGCGGGUGGCCGCGGCCGUUAAAUCUUUAUUCAAAGG
rnacentral:sRNA from 1 species